GACGAACCGUGCGAGCGUUGUCCGGAAUCACUGGGCGUAAAGGGCGCGUAGGCGGCUUGGUAAGUCGGGGGUGAAACGCUGCGGCUCAACCGCAGCACUGCCUUCGAGACUGUCAGGCUUGAGCACGGUAGAGGCUGGUGGAAUUCCCGGUGUAGCGGUGGAAUGCGUAGAGAUCGGGAAGAACAUCGGUGGCGAAGGCGGCCAGCUGGGCCGUUGCUGACGCUGAGGCGCGACAGCGUGGGGAGCAAACAGG
rnacentral:rRNA from 1 species